rnacentral:rRNA from 1 species
UACGGAGGAUGCGAGCGUUAUCCGGAUUUAUUGGGUUUAAAGGGUGCGUAGGCGGACGCUUAAGUCAGCGGUAAAAUUGCGGGGCUCAACCUCGUCGAGCCGUUGAAACUGGGUGCCUUGAGUGGGCGAGAAGUACGCGGAAUGCGUGGUGUAGCGGUGAAAUGCAUAGAUAUCACGCAGAACUCCGAUUGCGAAGGCAGCGUACCGGCGCCCAAUUGACGCUGAAGCACGAAGGCGUGGGUAUCGAACAGG